rnacentral:rRNA from 1 species
UAGGGAAUCUUCGGCAAUGGACGAAAGUCUGACCGAGCAACGCCGCGUGAGUGAAGAAGGUUUUCGGAUCGUAAAACUCUGUUGUUAGAGAAGAACAAGGACGUUAGUAACUGAACGUCCCCUGACGGUAUCUAACCAGAAAGCCACGGCUAACUACGUGCCAGCAGCCGCGGUAAUACGUAGGUGGCAAGCGUUGUCCGGAUUUAUUGGGCGUAAAGCGAGCGCAGGCGGGUUCUUAAGUCUGAUGUGAAAGCCCCCGGCUCAACCAGGGAGGGUCAUUGGAAACUGGGAGACUUGAGUGCAGAAGAGGAGGGUGGAGUUCCAUCUGUAGCGGUGAAAUGCGUAGAUAUAUGGAGGAACACCGGUGGCGAAGGCGGCUCUCUGGACUGUAACUGACGCUGAGUAUCGAAAGCGUGGGGAGCAAACGGA